GGUUUAAGACAAACAACAACUUGGGAUCAUCUGUUUCAGAUUGCAUCAGGUCAUACUUCACUGAACCCCAUCCAAACUAGACUCUUACACCUGAGUACAUUCGAAUGACGUGGUUUAAAUUUUUUGCGCAAAAAUAGAAUUGGUCCAUUGGCAUCAACGAGAAAGUCAAAGAGGCUUUCAACGAGAAGGCGAUGGCGUGCCUUAAGAACAAUGUUGGUGACUGGAAAGACAAGUGGCAGUUUGAGGGGGAUGCUGCAAAACCGACGUACAUCAGCGACUUACGUGUAGACUGGCCUCAAGGCUUAUUGGAUGAAGCCUCGGAAUAUUCGCACGUCCAACAACUGUUCAGCGGCCCGGAUGACACGUGACGCGGAGGGUAAUAUGCCGUUGCCCCAUACUUCUGGGCAGACUCCCCACGCUGGAGUCGCCUUGAAGAUGGCCGCUGAGAAAGGGGAGCCUUCAUCCCUUGCAGAACUUUACAAGAAGACACACAGCCAUAAAGAUGGCACGUUCAUGGACGCCCGAGCUGAAAGGAUCCACAACGAAGUGUAGACUCGGAUCCAGGAGGUCGAGACCCAGUUGUCUCGACAGACCCCGGAUGCCCCACCAGUCCAGUUAUCUACCGCCGAAAAAGAUAAAAUUUUUGAAUAGAUUAUCCCGAAGAAAAGGGAACGGAUAGUGGGGAUCGGUUCGGUGAACGAUGUUCCUAGGGUAACAGCGGCUUACGCUGCUACAAGGCAGGAGGAACAUGUUCAGCUCCAGACAGAUUUGAUGGCUGCCAAAGAGGAUUUGACGGCUGCCAAAGAGGUCAUUACAGAGAUGUGGUCUGAUAAUCAGCUUUUCACUAGCGUCCUCGAACUCAUGGCAGAAUCAAACCUGAAUGUUGCGCGGAUAUGGCGGUCUCUACGUCCGCGCCGCAACCCUGCUCCCAAAGAGCAAGCGGAUUUAGAUAGAUAAGCUGAUCUCCGUAGUUCCGAGCUCCGAGAUGAUCUUCACCUUCCUUAGUAUAGGUUAAUUUUUUUCAUUUUCGGUUUGU